rnacentral:rRNA from 1 species
GACGUAGGGAGCGAGCGUUGCCCGGAUUUACUGGGCGUAAAGAGCACGUAGGCGGUCUGUUAAGUGAGAAGUGAAAUCUCCAGCGCUCAACGCGGAAACGGCUUUUCAUACUGGCAGACUUGAGGGAUGCAGAGGCAAGUAGAAUUCCUGGUGUACCGGUGACAUGGGUUGAUAUCAGGAGGAAUACCAAUGGCGAAGGCAGCUCGCUGGGCAUCAUCUGACGCUGAGGUGCGAAAGCGUGGGUAGCAAACAGG